AGAGGAGAGGAGUGGAAAGAAGGAGGCAGAGAGGAAUGAGUCAAAGGUAGACGUGGGGAGGUUAAAGUCGCCCAGAACUGUGAGAGGUGAGCCGUCCUCAGGAAAGGAGCUUAUCAAGGCAUCAAGCUCAUUGAUGAACUCUCCGAGGGAACCUGGAGGGCGAUAAAUGAUAAGGAUGUUAAGCUUGAAAGGGCUGGUAACUGUGACAGCAUGGAAUUCAAAGGAGGCGAUAGACAGAUGGGUAAGGGGAGAAAGAGAGAAUGACCACUUGGGAGAGAUGAGGAUCCCGGUGCCACCACCCCGCUGACCAGAAGCUCUCGGGGUGUGCGAGAACACGUGGGCGGACGAAGAGAGAGCAGUAGGAGUAGCAGUGUUAUCUGUGGUGAUCCAUGUUUCCGUCAGUGCCAAGAAGUCGAGGGACUGGAGGGAGGCAUAGGCUGAGAUGAACUCUGCCUUGUUGGCCGCAGAUCGGCAGUUCCAGAGGCUACCGGAGACCUGGAACUCCACGUGGGUCGUGCGCGCUGGGACCACCAGAUUAGGGUGUCCGCGGCCACGCGGUGUGGAGCGUUUGUAUGGUCUGUGCAGAGAGGAGAGAACAGGGAUAGACAGACACAUAGUUGACAGGCUACAGAAGAGGCUACGCUAAUGCAAGGAGAUUGGAAUGACAAGUGGACUACACGUCUCGAAUGUUCAGAAAGUUAAGCUUAUGUAGCAAGAAUCUUAUUGACUAAAAUGAUUCAAAUGAUACAGUACUGCUGAAGUAGGCUAGCUGGCAGUGGCUGCGUUGUUGACACUACACUAAUCAAGUCGUUCCGUUGAGUGUAAUAGUUUCUACAGUGCAGCUAUUCGGGGGCUAGCUGGCUAGCUAGCAGUGUUGAUUACGUUACGUUGCGUUAAAAGAACGACAAUAGCUGGCUAGCUAACCUAGAAAAUCGCUCUAGACUACACAAUUAUCUUUGAUACAAAGACGGCUAUGUAGCUAGCUAUGUAGCUAGCUACGAUCAAACAAAUGAAACCGUUGUGCUGUAAUGAAAUGAAAUGAAAAUGUGAUACUACCUGUGGAGCGAAGCGGAAUGCGACCGGGUUGUUGUGGGAAGUGGGAAGUUAUAUUCGGUAGACGUUGGCUAGCUGUUGGCUAGCUAGCAGUGUCUCCUACGUUAAGGACGACAAAUAGCUGGCUAGCUAACCUGUAUAGCUUAAUUUAAAAGUAUGCAUUAAGGUGUCUGUGAUAUAAUAAAUGUGGCAAAAACAACUGUAGACAUUUAACAAAUUCAUUUCUAUAGCUUCCAAAAUAUUAUUUCACGUGGCUUCAACACAGCUCCCCUGUCAGUCAUCUAGUGUAUAUAUAAUUUUGCACGCCCAAUUUUUCAGUUUUUGAUUUGUUAAAAAAGUUUGAAAUAUCCAAUAAAUGUCGUUCCACUUCAUGAUUGUGUCCCACUUGUUGUUGAUUCUUCACAAAAAAAUACAGUUUUAUAUCUUCAUGUUUGAAGCCUGAAAUGUGGCAAAAGGUCAAAGUUCAAGGGGGCCGAAUACUUUCGCAAGGCACUGUAAAUCAUUGGCUCUGACACAGACCUGCAGUUUCCUGACUGUACUGUGCUUUUCUAUGGGAACAGCGCCCAUGCAGAAUUUGGAUGACCGCUACCCUGACUGCCACCCCCACAGACAGAGAGCUACGGCUGAGCGGUGAUUAGGACCAGGUCAAGCAUUACCUCAGCACUAGGGCCCAGCACUGAACACCCCCCGCACUCACACACCUCACCAGUAGCCUUGACAACAGUGAAAACACAGGUAUAGGCCCUAGUACUGAAGCUAAGCUAUGUUAAUUACAUCCACGUCCUGUGGGAACACAAAGGUGGUGCUUUUUUAACGAGCCAGUCUCUGCCUGUAGGGAAUCCACCUGAGAGCGGGCCGAUCGGGUUUCAGCAUCAAAGAGAGCUGGAAGUACCUGAGAAUCUUCCGGAGAAAGCAACCUCUCAACACCCCUAAGCCUCCCCGUCUCAGACCUUGUAUCCGCCACGAUGGGGAGAUGAUGUAGGGGACAUGAGGAGACGAAAGGAAAGGAAGAGAGGAGGACUGACUGAUUUGUUUUUACACGAUUGGGAUUUAGGAAUCUGCCUCAAAGGGUGUGGGACAGAGGAAAUAUCCUGUAGUUCAGCCUGCUGUGGCCCCAAGAUUCAUUUCUCAGUGGCCCUGGAUGUGGACAGAUGUGAGAAGGCUGUGUGAGGGUUAGGGGGCCUAGGAAUAGGGCUGGAAGAGCACUAACAUGUGGAGGAGCCUCAGGGAGGGCGUCUCCCAUGGUCGCUAACUGGCUGCGCUGACGUGGAGUAAACACGACCGUCGCCCAGCGUCCCAAUUUUCUGCUUCAGAGGUCCCCAACUUCCCACCAACAUGUGCCAUGUGCUCCAAAAAUCUACUCCUCUGAGAUUAACUAAAGCACAAAACAUGUAAAGGAACUGCCAGUGUCUUACCGCAAGAAUGCAGGCCGUAACAUCUUAAAAGACAUUCCCCUGUACGCUGCUCUUUAUAACUUCAGUUUGGAUCCCAUGCCAAGGCCCACAGGCUUAAUUUGAGAACCUUUAAUGGCUUCAAUAUGACUAUUGAAUACACCAAUAUGGUUUUCAGAUAGGGUUUUUGGUACUUAGAUACUACGGAAGGCAGCACUUGGAAUACACUGGGAAUGAAGUUUGGGAAUUUUGUAUCCAAUCCUGAGUCCCCAUUCCCCCACUCUUACAUCUUAAAAACUCUACCCAAAUAAAUAAAAAUGUAUUACAA